rnacentral:rRNA from 1 species
GACGAACGCUGGCGGCGUGCUUAACACAUGCAAGUCGAACGAAAAGAGGGAAAGAGCUUGCUCUUUCCGGAAUUGAGUGGCAAACGGGUGAGUAACACGUAAACAACCUGCCUUCAGGAUGGGGACAACAGACGGAAACGACUGCUAAUACCGAAUAAGUUCCAAGAGCCGCAUGGCCCAUGGGAGAAAAGGUGGCCUCUACCUGUAAGCUAUCGCCUGAAGAGGGGUUUGCGUCUGAUUAGCUGGUUGGAGGGGUAACGGCCCACCAAGGCGACGAUCAGUAGCCGGUCUGAGAGGAUGAACGGCCACACUGGAACUGAGACACGGUCCAGACUCCUACGGGAGGCAGCAGUGGGGAAUCUUCCGCAGUGGGCGAAAGCCUGACGGAGCAACGCCGCGUGAGUGAUGACGGCCUUCGGGUUGUAAAACUCUGUGAUCCGGGACGAAAAGGCAGAGUGCGAAGAACAAACUGCAUGACG